rnacentral:rRNA from 1 species
AUUGAACGCUGGCGGCAUGCCUUACACAUGCAAGUCGAACGGUAACAGGUCUUCGGAUGCUGACGAGUGGCGAACGGGUGAGUAAUACAUCGGAACGUGCCUGGUAGUGGGGGAUAACUACUCGAAAGAGUGGCUAAUACCGCACGAGAUCUACGGAUGAAAGCAGGGGAUCGCAAGACCUCGUGCUACUAGAGCGGCCGAUGGCAGAUUAGGUAGUUGGUGGGAUAAAAGCUUACCAAGCCGACGAUCUGUAGCUGGUCUGAGAGGACGAUCAGCCAAACUGGGACUGAGACACGGCCCAGACUCCUACGGGAGGCAGCAGUGGGGAAUUUUGGACAAUGGGCGCAAGCCUGAUCCAGCAAUGCCGCGUGCAGGAUGAAGGCCUUCGGGUUGUAAACUGCUUUUGUACGGAACGAAAGGCCCUGGGUUAAUACCCUGGGGUCAUGACGGUACCGUAAGAAUAAGCACCGGCUAACUACGUGCCAGCAGCCGCCGUAA